rnacentral:rRNA from 1 species
CACGUAGGGUGCGAGCGUUGUCCGGAAUUAUUGGGCGUAAAGAGCUCGUAGGCGGUGUGUCGCGUCGGCCGUGAAAACUUGCAGCUUAACUGUGGGCGUGCGGUCGAUACGGGCAUCACUGGAGUUCGGCAGGGGAGACUGGAAUUCCUGGUGUAGCGGUGAAAUGCGCAGAUAUCAGGAGGAACACCGGUGGCGAAGGCGGGUCUCUGGACAGUUCCUGACGCUGAGGCACGAAGGUCAGGGGAGCAAACGGG